CCCUUAGAUGUCCUGGGCCGCACGCGCGCUACACUGACAUGUUCAACAAGCCUCCUAGUUCGACAGGAUUUGGGAAAUCUUUGAACGCAUGUCGUGAUAGGGAUAGAUCAUUGCAAUUAUUGAUCUUGAACGAGGAAUUCCUAGUAAACGCGAGUCAUCAGCUCGCAUUGAUUACGUCCCUGCCCUUUGUACACACCGCCCGUCGCACCUACCGAUUGAAUGUUUCGGUGAAGAUUCCGGAUAGGACUUUUUUGAUUUAUUUCAAUUUUGUCUUAAAAGCUAUCGAAACCUCAACAUUUAGAGGAAGGUGAAGUCGUAACA
rnacentral:rRNA from 1 species